rnacentral:rRNA from 1 species
AACAAACGCUGGCGGCGUGCCUAAUACAUGCAAGUCGAACGGGGAAAGCUUUCGGGCGAGUACCAGUGGCGCACGGGUGAGGAACACGGGGAUAAUCUGCCUUGGAGAGGGGGAUAACUAGUCGAAAGAUUAGCUAAUACCGCAUAAGACCACAGGAACUGAGGUUCUAGGGGUCAAAGGUUUUUCGCUCCAAGAUGAGUCCGCGUAAGAUUAGCUAGUUGGUGAGGUAAUGGCUCACCAAGGCGACGAUCUUUAACUGGUCUGAGAGGAUGAUCAGUCACACUGGAACUGAGACACGGUCCAGACUCCUACGGGAGGCAGCAGUAGGGAAUAUGGCACAAUGGAGGAAACUCUGAUGCAGCGACGCCGCGUGAGUGAUGAAGGCCUUCGGGUCGUAAAGCUCUGUCGCAGGGGAAUAAAAAAAUGAAGGUACCCUGCAAGAAAGGAUCGGCUAACUUCGUGCCAGCCGCCGCCGUAA